rnacentral:rRNA from 1 species
UACAGAGGUCUCAAGUGUUGUUCGGAUUCAUUGGGCGUAAAGGGUGCGUAGGUGGCGCCGUAAGUCAGGUGUGAAAUUUCGGAGCUUAACUCCGAAACUGCAUUUGAUACUGCGGUGCUUGAGGACUGGAGAGGAGACUGGAAGUUUACGGUGUAGCAGUGAAAUGCGUAGAGAUCGUAAGGAAGACCAGUGGCGAAGGCGGGUCUCUGGACAGUUCCUGACACUGAGGCACGAAGGCCCAGGGGGAGCAAACGGG